rnacentral:rRNA from 1 species
UACGUAGGGGCCUAGCGUUGUCCGGAUUUAUUGGGCGUAAAGAGCUCGUAGGCGGUUCGGUAAGUCAGGUGUGAAAUCUCCACGCUCAACGUGGAGGCGCCACCUGAAACUGCCGUGACUCGAGUCCGGUAGGGGAGUGUGGAAUUCCCGGUGUAGCGGUGAAAUACGUAGAUAUCAGGAGGAACACCGGUGGCGAAGGCGGCGAUCUGGCCCAACACUGACACUGAGACCCAAAAGCGUGGGGAUCAAACAGG